rnacentral:rRNA from 1 species
UAACGCGUGGGUAACCUGCCUCACACUGGGGGAUAACAGUUAGAAAUAGCUGCUAAUACCGCAUAAGCGCACGGUUCCGCAUGGAACAGUGUGAAAAACUCCGGUGGUGUGAGAUGGACCCGCGUCUGAUUAGCCAGUUGGCGGGGUAACGGCCCACCAAAGCGACGAUCAGUAGCCGGCCUGAGAGGGUGAACGGCCACAUUGGGACUGAGACACGGCCCAAACUCCUACGGGAGGCAGCAGUGGGGAAUAUUGCACAAUGGGGGAAACCCUGAUGCAGCGACGCCGCGUGAGUGAAGAAGUAUUUCGGUAUGUAAAGCUCUAUCAGCAGGGAAGAAAGUGACGGUACCUGAAUAAGAAGCCCCGGCUAACUACGUGCCAGCAGCCGCGGUAAUACGUAGGGGGCAAGCGUUAUCCGGAUUUACUGGGUGUAAAGGGAGCGUAGACGGCAAGGCAAGUCUGAAGUGAAAGCCCGGUGCUUAACGCCGGGACUGCUUUGGAAACUGUUUAGCUGGAGUGCCGGAGAGGUAAGCGGAAUUCCUAGUGUAGCGGUGAAAUGCGUAGAUAUUAGGAAGAACACCAGUGGCGAAGGCGGCUUACUGGACGGUAACUGACGUUGAGGCUCGAAAGCGUGGGGAGCAAACAGGAUUAGAUACCCUGGUAGUCCACGCCGUAAACGAUGAUUGCUAGGUGU